ACAUUUCAUCACACAGUUUUACAGUGAAACACCAACUUAAGACAUAACAGGUUUAUUCCAACCAGACCAGAGUAGUGAAUGUUGGAACAGUGGAAAGACAAACAAAAACAGCUUUUGGUAGUUCUAUUUAGUUUCCGUCCACAUUGAAUGAAGUGUGUUUUACGACGCUAAACUAGUGAUUAUUUAAAUGGAGUCUGGUGGAGAUAUGCUGCUCUA